UGGAGCCAUGUCCGAGUCCUUGUUUCA
rnacentral:piRNA from 1 species